AUUAAACGCUGGCGGCAUGCCUUACACAUGCAAGUCGAACGGCAGCACGGGGGCAACCCUGGUGGCGAGUGGCGGACGGGUGAGUAAAGCAUCGGAACGUAUCCUGGAGUGGGGGAUAACGUAGCGAAAGUUACGCUAAUACCGCAUAUUCUGUGAGCAGGAAAGCAGGGGAUCGCAAGACCUUGCGCUCUGGGAGCGGCCGAUGUCGGAUUAGCUAGUUGGUGGGGUAAAGGCCUACCAAGGCGACGAUCCGUAGCGGGUCUGAGAGGAUGAUCAGCCACACUGGAACUGAGACACGGUCCAGACUCCUACGGGAGGCAGCAGUAGGGAAUAUUGGACAAUGGGCGGAAGCCUGAUCCAGCCAUCCCGCGUGUAGGAAUAAGGCCCUAUGGGUUGUAAACUACUUUAUUAGGAAGAAAACUUUGAUUUAUCAGAGCUUGACGGUACCUAAGGAAUAAGCACCGGCUAACUCCGUGCCAGCAGCCGCGGUAAAGUCAGUG
rnacentral:rRNA from 1 species